AAACAAUCUCUCACUGCUCCUGUCACUGCUCCUGCUCCUCUCACUGCUCCUCUCACUGCUCCUCUCACUGCUCCUGCUCCUCUCACUGCUCCUCUCACUGCUCCUCUCACUGCUCCUGCUCCUCUCACUGCUCCUCUCACUGCUCCUCUCACUGCUCCUCUCACUGCUCCUGCUCCUCUCACUGCUCCUCUCACUGCUCCUGCUCCUCUCACUGCUCCUCUCACUGCUCCUCUCACUGCUCCUCUCACUGCUCCUGCAUCUCUCACUGCUCCUCUCACUGCUCCUGCUCCUCUCACUGCUCCUCUCACUUCUCACUGCUCCUCUCACUUCUCACUGCUCCUCUCACUGCAUCUCUCACUGCUCCUCUCACUGCUCCUCUCACUGCUCCUCUCACUGCUCCUCUCACUGCUCCUGCUCCUCUCACUGCUCCUCUCACUGCUCCUGCAUCUCUCACUGCUCCUCUCACUGCUCCUGCUCCUCUCACUGCUCCUCUCACUGCUCCUCUCACUGCUCCUGCAUCUCUCACUGCUCCUCUCACUGCUCCUGCUCCUCUCACUGCUCCUCUCACUGCUCCUCUCACUGCUCCUGCAUCUCUCACUGAUCCUGCACCUCUCACUGCAUCUCUCACUGCUCCUGCAUCUCUCACUGCUCCUCUCACUGUUCUUGCUCCUCUCACUGCUCCUCUCACUGCUCCUUCUCCUCUCACUGCUCCUCUCACUGCUCCUGCAUUUCUCACUGCUCCUCUCACUGCUCCUGCUCCUCUCACUGCUCCUGCUCCUCUCACUGCUCCUCUCACUGCUCCUCUCACUGCUCCUGCAUCUCUCACUGCUCCUCUCACUGCUCCUGCUCCUCUCACUGCUCCUCUCACUGCUCCUCUCACUGCUCCUGCAUCUCUCACUGCUCCUCUCACUGCUCCUGCUCCUCUCACUGCUCCUCUCACUGCUCCUCUCACUGCUCCUGCAUCUCUCACUGAUCCUGCACCUCUCACUGCAUCUCUCACUGCUCCUGCAUCUCUCACUGCUCCUCUCACUGUUCUUGCUCCUCUCACUGCUCCUCUCACUGCUCCUUCUCCUCUCACUGCUCCUCUCACUGCUCCUGCAUUUCUCACUGCUCCUCUCACUGCUCCUGCUCCUCUCACUGCUCCUGCUCCUCUCACUGCUACUGCUCCUCUCACUGUUCACUGCUACUGCUCCUCUCACUGCAUCUCUCAAUGCUCCUGCUCCUCUCACUGCUCCUGCUCCUCUCACUGCUCCUCUCACUGUUCCUGCUCCUCUCACUGCAUCUCUCAAUGCUCCUGCUUCUCUCACUGCUUCUGCUCCUCUCACUGCUCCUGCAUCUCUCACUGCUCCUGCUCCUCUCACUGGGCCUGCUCUUCUCCCUGGGCCCCUUGCUCUUACUCUUCCUCGUCCAUACAUUAGUGUUUGUCUUUUUCUGUUUAUGUUUCCAAAAACAUCACUCUUCAAAGUCCUCCUUUUAUUGUAUAAGUGUCAAUGUAAUAGAAAAAAAUAA
rnacentral:lncRNA from 1 species